rnacentral:rRNA from 1 species
UGAGGAAUAUUGGGCAAUGCCCGCAAGGGUGACCCAGCAACGCCGCGUGGAGGAUGAAUGUCGUAAGAUUGUAAACUCCUGUUAGAGGGGAAGAAUAGUACCGGUUGGACCGGUAUAUGACUUUACCCUCAGAGAAAGCCCCGGCUAACUACGUGCCAGCAGCCGCGGUAAUACGUAGGGGGCAAGCGUUGUCCGGAUUUACUGGGUGUAAAGGGCGCGCAGGCGGGAUAAAAAGUCAGUGGUGAAAUCCUACAGCUUAACUGUAGAACUGCCUUUGAUACUUUUAUUCUUGAGUUCGGGAGAGAGAGACGGAAUUCCAGGUGUAGUGGUGAAAUACGUAGAUAUCUGGAAGAACACCAGUUGCGAAGGCGGUCUCUUGGUCCGACACUGACGCUGAGGCGCGAAAGCGUGGGGAGCAAACA